UGUAAAAACAUUCUUACGUCCUUUUUCUUUUAUAUCUAAAAUAUACAAUUUACAAAUUUGAAAAUGAAUAUUAAAUAACUUCCUUCGACCACCCUUGGCUACUUAUAAACGUGAGGACAAUGCAACUGAGUCCAAUAUAUCAUAACAAACACGACCUGUAGAUUGAUGCAGACAUAGAGCAUGGAUAAUUGUUUUAGGCCUAAUCAGAGAAUAUACAUUAAACCUUAUAGUUACGUUAAUGUAUAAUAGUCUCGUAGCCGUACAAUGUUUGUAUUACUGUUGAACGAAAAUAACGUAAAGAGGAAAUUUUACAAAUAAUAUCUCAAUUACAAGUUAUUUAUCACAUUGAUGUAUCAAUUUCAAAAAUUAUUAGAUUAGUACCCCAACAUCAAAAUUCGACCUACUAUCAAUAUAUGUCGUCUUUAAAUGGUGUUAAGUCUUCAUCUUCUUUAAGAUAUUUUCGUAUCUUGCUAUUUUAACUCUAUUUUGAGAUUUUUCAUUCCUUAUUCAAUCAACUACUAUUUCCUCACCUCAACAAACCAAUUUCAAAAAUUAUUAGAUUAGUACCCCAACAUCGAAAUUCAACCUACUAUCAAUACAUGUCGUCUUUAAACGGUGUUAAGUCUUCAUCUUCUUUAGGAUAUUUUCGUAUCUUGCUAUUUUAACUCUAUUUUGAGAUUUUCAUUCCUUACUCAAUCAACUACUAUUUCCUCACCUCAACAAACAACCAUCAAUCCCACCACUAAACUCUUCAUCAAGGCGGCCAACACCAUGAUGUAAUACCCCAAUCCCUACUCCCCAAUUCCAUCAACCUUAACCCAAAACAUCCAAAUUAUCUACUUCAUCAAUUCAAUCCAUAGCCUUAUAUUCUCAAUCCAACCCCAAAACCCCUCCUACCAAAUUCCGUAUCAUGUGCACUUUAGAUCCAAAAUCACCAUUAAUGGGGAUCAAACUACAAAUAGAUGUGCAUAGGACGAGAAGUCGUGGACUGGGUUUCUUUAUCUUUGGAGCAGGCAACUGCUCUCUCUCCUUCUCUCUUCCUCCCCUCACUCUUUUGUACACCAAACAAACUUCAGUUUUACACACUUAUGGGUUUUUGUUUUUGUUUAAAACUUUAAAUUACCAAUUUUCUUGUUGGGUUUUUGUAUGAAACAUAGAUUGUGAGGGAUAUGAGUUUAUUGUAUUGCAUGGAUAGUUAAAAAUGCUUUCUGGGUUUUUGCACGGAUUGAGCCAAAGAGUUUUUGAGUUUUUGGCACAGAUGGAGCUAGAGAUAAAAUCAUACAGGCACAGCCAAAAAAAAAGAACGAAAUUGUCCUUG
rnacentral:lncRNA from 1 species